rnacentral:tRNA from 1 species
GGUUCUAUGGCUGAGAGGUUAAAGCAUCUGCCUGCAAUGCGGGAGACCUGGGUUCGAUCCCUGGAUCA